GUAGCGACGAGGGGAAGGGAUAAGGUCCCGAGCGCCGCGUCCAGCAUCCUCUCUCAUCUCCCUUUCCCCUCGCUCGCUUCCUCCUCCCGAGCCCGCAGAUCCCUAGCCGCCUUCUCCCGCAGCACCUCAGCCGCCUCCUCUCGCUCUCCACCCAGCUGCUCGCCACCACUUCGCCGCCUCCUCCUCCCCUGCUCCUCUGACCUCGAAGCCCCAACGCAUGGUUGCCGCCGCCGCUCGUGUCUUUCUUCCCGCAGCCUCCUGCGGGACGAUGCCUCCCCAUCCUCCAUUAGUCGCCGCUGUGGGAUGUGGUUCUGGACCGGUCCCAGGUCGCUGCCGAGGAGCAGAGGAGGACGAUCGUGGGGGGAAGGAGCAGAGGAGGACGUCACGGGGGAAGGUGCAGCGAGCCUCCCCAUCCUCCAUUAGCCGCCGCUGUGGGAUGUGGUUCUGGACCGGUCCCAGGUCGCUGCGGAGGAGCAGAGGAGGACGACAGCGAGGGGAAGGAGCAGAGGAGGACGUCACUGGGGAAGGUGCAGCGAGCCCGAAGGUCCAGACGGCGCCCUCGUCAUGUGCCGGAUGCUGCUCGCCAGCCCUCUUUGUCGUCCUCAAUCUAGCAAGAUGUGUGAAGAUCCGAGACAGAAAAGAGGAGGAAGAAUUUUGACGAAGAGUUCGGUGAUGGGGAACAUGUGAACUCUCUCUCAGCCACGUCUUUUCCUGCUACAGUUUGAUUUUGAUGUUAUGGUUGAUUCUACCCCUGAUGUGGCCUAAUUCUUUCUUUGUCACCCUUUUGAUAUGUGUUAUCAAAGUUAGUGAUUGGAGUUUCUCUGUUAUGUCAGUACACAUUGCUACUUUCAGGUUGUUUAAUUACUUUAUAUGAAACACAUUGACAUUAUAUGGAAAAGAGGCAUAUAUAUGAUUCUCUGUGUAUUUGCAAUGUCGUGACUGCAGAGGUAUCCUUCUCUCUGUAACAAGUCUAAUUAUUUGCGAAUUGGGUGUGCAUAUGCUUGCGUCUACCUACUCUAUUUGCGCUCAAAUACCAUAUAUGUAUGGACUGGUAGAGGUAAAAGAUAAAUUCAGAAAGAUAAAAAGGAAAUGACAUCUAUUCCCGAAUUUAUGUUUCUAUGGUGUCAUGGGUUCAGUUUGUGUUGCACAUUUAUGUGUCAACGACGACUAUCAAACAAGAAAAUUGUUCACCAGCUAUGGCCACCUCCGCGUUUAUCUUUUCAUGGUCAUGGAAAAUGAAAUGUUCAUGAAUCGCCGGUUGCUUUCAGGCCGACACGGGCUGCCGGUCCACCCAGCGCGCGGGUAGCUGUGCAGAUCUCUAAUCGGCACCCUCCCUAUGGCACCGCUCCACAAUGCCGACCAGCAUUGAAUAUGCCAUGGAUCCGCCAAGCAGACGCCUCAGGACGGUCAUCCAGAAUGCUAUCCUGCCUCCAUUCAAGCCCAGGUCAAUCGUCCUCUUCCAUUCUGCGGCUAUUACCUGGAAUAUUAAUGACCAUUUAUUUGCUGACAGUGGUUGCAUUUUCCUUAAAUUUUAGGCGCUCUUCACUUGCUUCAUAAUUUCUGAAUAAAUGCAUCUAUGUUCAGUCUGAUUUUAAAUUGCACUGAAACUAGAAAGCAGUGGAUGCCUUGGUGUUAUGUUCCAACAAAAAAUAGGAAGGAAGCAGAAAGUGGAAUAGGUAAAUAGUCACAGUGCACUAUAGAUUGUCCAUAACUUUUUCUAGGUCAGCUGUAGUACUGGUAUGGAUAAAAGUAAAUAUGUCACUGGUGUUACAUCUUCCUAAUCCAUCAUAUGUGUAAAGCUAAGAUCAGAUAUUUGAAUUGUCAGACUCUUUUGCUCAUUGUCAGACCAUGACUAAGGCUUCCUAUUAAAAUUGUGUGGAAUGCUACUAAAAAGUGGAAAAAAUUAUUAUUCUAUGGUAUUCUUUAUUCUCCUAGCCCCUACAAGGCUUCCGGUUAAAGUUCAUCGAUGUGCUCCUGAAAGUGAAUUAGUGGCACCCAAGUAUGCGCUCGUGCUUUCCUUCUGUUAUGGCUUACCUAUUUGCCUUGGAGUGUGCUUUUUUUCGGGGCUCAUAUUCUUGGCAUAUGCAUGUAUGUACAAUGAAUCUUUUUUUAUCUGAUCACUUGUCUCUUUAUCUAGAACUUGAAGGAUAAAAAAUAUGAGGAAAAUGAAAGCAGUUACCACGGCCAUCUGAAAAGCUAAAAAAUUGGAGAAGGUCCUGAAAGUAAAAAGCAAGAGGUCAAGGAUUCAGUCUGCCAAGUCUUUGUAUGAUUAAAAUUUUAGUGGCUAGCAUAAUUUUUUGUACCAGUAUGUUUCCGACUUUCCGCCUGCAGAUCAACCACAUCUAUGUGUUUGAAAAGAACCUGCUUUCCUCAAAAGAUUGCUACUACCUGCUUCUUUACAACACUUCACGGAUGACUUGUGAUGACACCUGGUAUUAAUUAGUACAGUAGGAACGAUGGGUUUUUCAUCACAUUCUUUGAUGUCAAUCAUUGCAAAGUUGUAACGUACUAAAUCCUAAUAUGCCAAUGCAGCAAAAAAAGUCUUAUUUUUCAGAUUGCACCAAGAAAAAACUGCUUCCAUGGCUUCCUUGGCCUCCCUGUCGUGCUCGAGAUGGAGAUGCCUCCCUGCUUCACCACUGCUAGGUACCUCUUCUUCCUCAGCUUCGUCCUCCUCCUAGCAGUGGAUGCUGCAGGCCCAUCUCCCCAAGCACCCCACCCUCGCCAUGGAUUGAGUGGGAGGUCAGUUUGCUCUGAAUCCCUGAGAGUUUUGGUCCUGCAUCUCUUGCUCAAUCAGCGGGCUGAUCUUUGCCGGUGCCGGGGUGACAUCACCAGAACUGCUGCAUCUUCAUCUGGUUUGCUUUAGAUAACGAGAGCAAGGCAAGCAGCUUGCCAAAAACAAAGGUGGAUGCAGAAGGAACAUCACUUGUUGGCUCCCUUGACAGAAAUGCGGAGUUUUACAUGAUUUACGAGGACAUGUCUUCUUGGAUGGAUGUGGAUUAUUUGGUUCCUUUGUGGGAACUGAUAACAUUUUGUUUACAUAUUUACUGCUCGACCGUAUGCCCAUAAGGAUUGUUUGAUCUCUUUUUCUACGCAGACUGCAGGUGUAGGUCCCCUGCUCACUAAGGACAAGGUCAGAUUGCUUUAGGUAUUUUAAGAUGAUUAAUCCUUGAGCACCAUAGUUGAUUGAAAUCAAAUAUGCAGAUCACUUUUCCUUACAAUUAAAAUGAAAUAUGUUGCAAAAUAAAGUGGUGUAUAUUGUGAGACUAUGUACUGUAUGAGUUAUUUGAGUAAUGAUGUGAAAGCAAUGUAUAAACUUGGUGAAUUCACUUCAGUUUACUGAUACUGGUUUAUCAAUAUGUGGCCAUCAAGUGUGAUGUGCAAGUUAUAUAUAUAUUAGGCAUCUAAUGUACUAUGUAUUUACAAACUUUUCUGUGUGUUCCACAGUACCAAGUCGAGCAUCCAAUAACAGAUUUGGUUCUAAUCAAGGAUCACACAUUUCAUGCUUGCACUAUAGUUUAUUUCUCCAUUCAUGCAUUAUCAGUCUUAGUACUUGCUCUUGUGCCUGCCCGGCUUGCUCUAUUACUGACUUUGCCUUCUCUUCCUAAAUAGCAGACCUGGUUUUCUUUAUGUCCUUGAAGCAAAUACCACAAUGUUAGCUUGAAAGUAUUUAGGAUACAUACAGAGCCAGAAGGUAAAUAAGGGAUUUGACAAAAAGAGUACACACUGAUUUUAGGUGCUGCACUUCAGAAGCAAUCCCCUCCUUUACCCCCACAGGCUCCUACAGGCAAAUCAACCUGCAGUCAGCAUAUUUUUAUAUUUGUUGCUUGGAACAACAAGCUGAAUCAACUGAAUUACUCACGUUAUGGCAGGUCUUGGUGUACAAGACUGCAACCACUAAUAAAAAAUAAAAUAUCAUGUUAGACAGCUAUUUAUCUAUAGUAGAUACACUACAGUGCAAUUGAUGCAUCGGUCUCACGAAACGAUGUUGUGCUGGGUCUCAUAGGAUCACUUGCGUUUUGAUCGAAUUUCUAUGAAGCCUACAAACUAGGAUCACUUUUUUUUCGAGAAAACACAAAGGACCUUUGCAUUUCAUUUCAUGGAAAAGGUAGAACAGACCUCCUAGGAGGUGAGCGGUACAGUGUCAUGCAUCCUAUCAAUGGACAUCCCAGGUUGUGGGCAGGACAACCCGAAACCCCUGGGCUCCAGCGUUUUCCCAACAUCGGGUCUCAUCUUUGAUCCUAUCCACUAAUGGUUCGAUGGACGGCGUGGCGUAGUCGAAGACACAUGCGUGCAGAUCACUCUUAUUUUCUCACACGAAGCAUUUCAAGCCGAUGAGCUGUAGUUGUAGUUCUUUUCAAACUGCCAUGAUUUUAACCAAAAGUUUAGUACAGGUGCAGAUUCUAAUUUGUGUGAUAAGUUUAUGACAUUUUUGUCUUGCAUGUGUAUUUAUAGCUAAUAUCUCUUAUUGCAAUUCGUAGGAUCAGAAUCGGGACAUGAAUCUGAACUAUGAUAUUUGGAUUUACGAUCUCAUUCAUGGAAAUUGUGCAAGAUAAUGAGCAACAGACAUUAUUUCAUCCCAGUGAAGCUCCAAGUUUGGCUAUUUGCUGGGGAUACGAGUUCUAGACUGUAUAAGAAAUAUAAAAUAGAAUUAAGCUGGAAAAGAUAUACAUAUUAUAAUAUCUGCAUUGCCUUUUAUUAAACAAAAUAUAUAACAUUGUGAUGGGGUAAUGACAAUACUGAAACAUCGUCAGCUACCACUAUCUAUUUUGUGGGAUCAUUAGAAGGUGAAACUUAUGUACGGUUCUAUCAUCCUGGUCAUUAAUUUGUUGGCGUGUAGCUGAUGCAAUAUUAGUGUGUGUGCUUGUGUGUCGCUAUUUUGCUGAAACAAGUACUAUUAUUGCAUAGGUUAUCAUUUAUCACUAUUAGAGUUGCAGUUUACCUUUUCCAUAUAGAUACUGUUCUUACCUCAAGUUGGUAAACAAUAUGUGUUCUUACCUCAAAUUGACAUAUAGUGCAUUCCAGGCAUCAAAUUUUAUCACUAUUAAAUUAGAUAUAUCAAAUUGAGUUCAGUAGUCUAUCAUUGGAACCUUGAUGAUUUAUCUCAUUUGAACAUAAUCUAACCCCUCUGAUUUUUGUCAGUACAUGAUUGUACACCUCCUAUGCCCGCUUAAUUGUGUGUUCAUUUUGUUAAUCAAGAAGCAUUUGAUUUUAUGGCUGGCGCGACUGCUUCGUGUGCUGCCUCGAGUCGCGCGGCCACUACGCCCGCGCCGAGGCGGAGGCCGCUGCCACUCUCGACGCCCUCCGCUGCGCGCUCUCGCCGGCGGCGUUCGCAAAGCCUUGUCGCGGCGCUGCAAGUGUUGCCCCCCUCCUCCCCAAGGGCAAGGUGAAGGAAGGUGCCUGUGUGGUUCUUCUGCAGCUCGCAGCGAGGAUUGCUGUGUCCAACCUGCACAAGAAUGCCAAGAAGUCCUCAGAGACGAUUAAGGACACGUACCUGUACUACAACGAGAGAUAUCUGGGCUGCUUCUUUGUGGCUUCCAAACAUGAAAUUUUUGUUUGGAAGUUAGUUUAGUUUUUUGUUGUGGAUUCACAGCUUCUCACAUGUACCAUCCUUUUAGACCUUCAGGUUCCGAAAGAAACUAAAUGAAGAUACGGUGGUAUGGUCUCAAUAGUACAACUUAAAGCCUUCAAAGCUUUAUAUUUUCUCUGAAAUUUGCUCUUGAAGAAUUAUGUAUCUAUGUUAGAUCUGGUGAGUAAAGACGGCUUCCAAGCAGAGGAUGCGGGAGUGUUGGCCA